UCGCGGGGUGGAGCAGUUCGGUAGCUCGUCGGGCUCAUAACCCGAAGGUCGCAGGUUCAAAUCCUGCCCCCGCAACCAA
rnacentral:tRNA from 1 species